rnacentral:rRNA from 1 species
GUCUGUGGCCAUACCACCCUGAACACACCCGAUCUUGUCUGAUCUUGGAAGGUAAGUAGGAUCGGGCUUGGUUAGUACUUGCAUGGGAGAAAUCAGUGCGCAGCAACAGGCA